rnacentral:rRNA from 1 species
AUUGAACGCUGGCGGCAGGCCUAACACAUGCAAGUCGAGCGAGCGGCGGACGGGUGGGUAAUGUGUGGGAAACUGCCUGAUGGAGGGGGGUAACUACUGGAAACGGUAGCUAAUACCGCAUACCAUCAGAUGUGCCCAGAUGGGAGUAGCUAGGAGGUGGGGUAACGGCUCACCCAGGCGACGAUCCCUAGCUGGUCUGAGAGGAUGAGCAGCCACACUGGAACUGAGACACGGUCCAGACUCCUACGGGAGGCAGCAGUGGGGAAUAUUGCACAAUGGGCGCAAGCCUGAUACAGCCAUGCCGCGUGUGUGAAGAAGGCCUUCGGGUUGUAAAGCACUUUCAGCGGGGAGGCGUUACCCGCAGAAGAAGCACCGGCUAACUCCGUGCCAGCAGCCGCGGUAAUUC